rnacentral:rRNA from 1 species
UACGGAGGUGGCAAACGUUACUCGGAAUUAUUGGGUGUAAAGGGCAAGUAGGCGGCUUAAUAAGUGGGGGGUGAAAUACUUCGGCUCAAUCGGAGAACUGCCUUCCAAACUGUUAGCUUGAGUAUGACAGAGGAAAAUGGAAUUCUUGGUGUAAGGGUGAAAUCUGUAGAUAUCAAGAAGAACACCAGCUGCGAAGGCGAUUUUCUGGGUCAUUACUGACGCUAAAUUGCGAAAGCUAGGGGAGCAAACAGA